GACGAACGCUGGCGGCGUGCCUAAUACAUGCAAGUAGAACGCUGAAGGAGGAGCUUGCUCUUCUGGAUGAGUUGCGAACGGGUGAGUAACGCGUAGGUAACCUGCCUGGUAGCGGGGGAUAACUCUUGGAAACGAUAGCUAAUACCGCAUAAAAUUGAUUAUUGCAUGAUAGUCAAUUAAAAGGUGCAAUUGCAUCACUACCAGAUGGACCUGCGUUGUAUUAGCUAGUUGGUGAGGUAACGGCUCACCAAGGCAACGAUACAUAGCCGACCUGAGAGGGGGAUCGACCACCCUGGGACUGGGACACGGCCCAGACUCCUAAGGGAGGCAGCAGUAGGGGAUCUUCGGCAAUGGACGGAAGGCUGACCGAGCAAAGCCGGGUGAGGGAAGAAGGGUUUCGGGUCGGAAAGAUCUGUUGUAAGGGAAGAACGAGUGUGAGAGUGGAAAGUGCACACUGUGACGGUAGCUAACCAGAAAGGGACGGCUAACUACGUG
rnacentral:rRNA from 1 species